rnacentral:sRNA from 1 species
GCCAGGUGUGGUGGUGUGCACCUGUAAUCCCAGCUACUUGGGAGGCUGAGGCAGAAGAAUUGCUUGAACCUGGGAGGCAGAGGUUGCAGUGAGCCGAGAUCUUGCCACUGCACUCCAGCCUGGGUGACAGAGCAAGACUCUGUCUCGA